GCACCUACUAUGUACCAGGGAACCACCCAGUGCUGGGGAUUCGGGAGCUGAUAAGACUGACAUGCUCUCUAAGUUGGCUUUCCAGGAGAAGGGUCAGAUCAUAUGAAGCCAAAAGCCUACACGGUUCUAGUAAUUCCUUCGCUGGAGGUGGAGGUCGUUUCCAUGGCCCCAGAGAACAGCAAGAUCAAGAAGCCAAGACUGAAGACAAGAACUAGAAGAAGAAUACAGAUAGCUUUCAAGUGGGGCUUGACGGGUCCAGAUUCUUCCAGGGUGUUAUUGCAUUUAAUCCACGUGGCAGCUGCCAGCCUCCGGAAGAAACUCCAGUACACAUUAGUUGAAUCAACGGGGCUUCCUCAUUGUCCUCAUUUACAGAUGAAGAAAGGGGGGCCCAGGGGACUCAGGAAAGGCUCAACACCACACAACUAGUGACCAGUUUAGAAUUCAAGCCCAGGGCCACCAGGCUCCAUGGCUUGCUUUCUGUAUGUAUGUAUGUAUAUAUUUCUCUUUUUAGGGCCACACCCACAGCAUAUGGAAGUUCCUAGGCUAGGGGUCAAAUUGGAACUGUAGCUGCCAGGCUAUGCCACAGCCAUAGCAACACAGGAUCCGUGCCAGGUCUGCAACCUACACCACAGCUCACAGCAACACCAGAUCCUUAAUCCACUGAGCGAAGCCAGGGAUCGAACCCACAUCCUCAUGGAUGCUGGUCGGGUUUAUUAUCACUGAGCCAUGAUGGGAACUCCAAGGCUCCAUAGCUUUUGCCCUCUCUUCUGCCCCAUGCUGCAACCCCGCUCCAUAGAGGGAGCCCAGAGAAAUGGAUGCUCACUCCAGCUUUGUCCUAGACCCUUUUUCUGGCCUCAGGGCAUCAGGAGAUCUCCAAAGGCCCUUCGGGACAAAAAGCCUCCUGAGUUUGGUGGGUGUAGGAGGAAGGAGAGAGCGAAUCCAUCCACUAAAGCUCCAGAUGCCCACAGCCAGCACUGGCACACCACCAACACAAGAAUUUUUACGACAGGAAAACACUUUCUCAAAUGACUCACCCAAAGAGAUGUCUUUAAAGAGUUCCGUAAGAGAGGUCCUGUCCUGGC
rnacentral:lncRNA from 9 species